rnacentral:rRNA from 1 species
CAGCACCUCAAGUGGUCAGGAUGAUUAUUGGGCCUAAAGCAUCCGUAGCCGGCUUUGUUAGUUUUCGGUUAAAUCUGUACGCUUAACGUACAGGCUGCCGGGAAUACUGCAGAGCUAGGGAGUGGGAGAGGUAGACGGUACUCGGUAGGAAGGGGUAAAAUCCUUUGAUCUAUUGAUGACCACCUGUGGCGAAGGCGGUCUACCAGAACACGUCCGACGGUGAGGGAUGAAAGCUGGGGGAGCAAACCGGAUUAGAUACCCGCGUAGUCC